rnacentral:rRNA from 1 species
GACGAACGCUGGCGGCGUGCCUAAUACAUGCAAGUUGAGCGCUGAAGGUUGGUACUUGUACCGACUGGAUGAGCAGCGAACGGGUGAGUAACGCGUGGGGAAUCUGCCUUUGAGCGGGGGACAACAUUUGGAAACGAAUGCUAAUACCGCAUAAAAACUUUAAACACAAGUUUUAAGUUUGAAAGAUGCAAUUGCAUCACUCAAAGAUGAUCCCGCGUUGUAUUAGCUAGUUGGUGAGGUAAAGGCUCACCAAGGCGAUGAUACAUAGCCGACCUGAGAGGGUGAUCGGCCACAUUGGGACUGAGACACGGCCCAAACUCCCACGGGAGGGAGCAGUAGGGAAUCUUCGGCAAGGGACGGAAGUCUGACCGAGCAACGCCGCGGGAGUGAAGAAGGUUUUCGGGUCGGAAAACUCUGUUGGUAGGGAAGAAAGUUGGUGAGAGUGGAAAGCUCAUCAAGUGACGGUAACUACCCAGAAAGGGACGGCUAACUACGUG